rnacentral:rRNA from 1 species
CAGUCGCCACGGUAAGACGGAGGGUGCUAGCGUUGUUCGGAAUCACUGGGCGUAAAGGGCGCGUAGGCGGCCUGUUAAGUCGGAUGUGAAAGCCCGGGGCUCAACCCCGGAACUGCAUCCGAGACUGGCAGGCUUGAGACCGGGAGAGGAGGGUGGAAUAUCCAGUGUAGAGGUGAAAUUCGUAGAUAUUGGAUGGAACACCGGUGGCGAAAGCGGCUCUCUGGCCCGGAUCUGACGCUGAGGCGCGAAAGCGUGGGGAGCAAACAGGAUUAGAUACCCGAGUAGUCCCUGUCUCUUAUAA